AUUGAACGCUGGCGGCAGGCCUAACACAUGCAAGUCGAACGGUAACAGGAAGAAGCUUGCUUCUUUGCUGACGAGUGGCGGACGGGUGAGUAAUGUCUGGGAAACUGCCUGAUGGAGGGGGAUAACUACUGGAAACGGUAGCUAAUACCGCAUAGCGUCGCAAGACCAAAGAGGGGGACCUUUGGGCCUCUUGCCAUCGGAUGUGCCCAGAUGGGAUUAGCUAGUAGGUGGGGUAACGGCUCACCUAGGCGACGAUCCCUAGCUGGUCUGAGAGGAUGACCAGCCACACUGGAACUGAGACACGGUCCAGACUCCUACGGGAGGCAGCAGUGGGGAAUAUUGCACAAUGGGCGCAAGCCUGAUGCAGCCAUGCCGCGUGUAUGAAGAAGGCCUUCGGGUUGUAAAGUACUUUCAGCGGGGAGGAAGGGAGUAAAGUUAAUACCUUUGCUCAUUGACGUUACCCGCAGAAGAAGCACCGGCUAACUCCGUG
rnacentral:rRNA from 1 species